rnacentral:rRNA from 1 species
AUUGAACGCUGGCGGCAGGCCUAACACAUGCAAGUCGAGCGGAUGAAGGGAGCUUGCUCCUGGAUUCAGCGGCGGACGGGUGAGUAAUGCCUAGGAAUCUGCCUGGUAGUGGGGGAUAACGUCCGGAAACGGGCGCUAAUACCGCAUACGUCCUGAGGGAGAAAGUGGGGGAUCUUCGGACCUCACGCUAUCAGAUGAGCCUAGGUCGGAUUAGCUAGUUGGUGGGGUAAAGGCCUACCAAGGCGACGAUCCGUAACUGGUCUGAGAGGAUGAUCAGUCACGCUGGAACUGAGACACGGCCCAGACUCCUACGGGAGGCAGCAGUGGGGAAUAUUGGACAAUGGGCGAAAGCCUGAUCCAGCCAUGCCGCGUGUGUGAAGAAGGUCUUCGGAUUGUAAAGCACUUUAAGUUGGGAGGAAGGGCAGUAAGUUAAUACCUUGCUGUUUUGACGUUACCAACAGAAUAAGCACCGGCUAACUUCGUG